GAUGAACGCUGGCGGCGUGCCUAAUACAUGCAAGUCGAGCGAACAGACGAGGAGCUUGCUCCUCUGACGUUAGCGGCGGACGGGUGAGUAACACGUGGAUAACCUACCUAUAAGACUGGGAUAACUUCGGGAAACCGGAGCUAAUACCGGAUAAUAUAUUGAACCGCAUGGUUCAAUAGUGAACGACGGUUUUGCUGUCACUUAUAGAUGGAUCCGCGCCGCAUUAGCUAGUUGGUAAGGUAACGGCUUACCAAGGCAACGAUGCGUAGCCGACCUGAGAGGGUGAUCGGCCACACUGGAACUGAGACACGGUCCAGACUCCUACGGGAGGCAGCAGUAGGGAAUCUUCCGCAAUGGGCGAAAGCUUGACGGAGCAACGCCGCGUGAGUGAUGAAGGUCUUCGGAUCGUAAAACUCUGUUAUUAGGGAAGAACAAAUGUGUAAGUAACUAUGCACGUCUUGACGGUACCUAAUCAGAAAGCCACGGCUAACUACGUG
rnacentral:rRNA from 1 species